AACGAACGCUGGCGGCAUGCCUAACACACGCAAGUCGAACGAGACCUUCGGGUCUAGUGGCGCACGGGUGCGUAACGCGUGGGAACCUGCCCUUAGGUUCGGAAUAACUCCCAGAAAGGGGUGCUAAUACCGGAUAAUGUCUUCGGACCAAAGAUUUAUCGCCUUUGGAUGGGCCCGCGUUGGAUUAGCUAGUUGGUAGGGUAAAAGCCUACCAAGGCGACGAUCCAUAGCUGGGCUGAGAGGAUGAUCAGCCACACUGGGACUGAGACACGGCCCAGACUCCUACGGGAUGCAGCAGUGGGGAAUAUUGGACAAUGGGCGAAAGCCUGAUCCAGCACUGCCGCGUGAGUGAUGAAGGCCUUAGGGUUGUAAAGCUCUUUUACCCGGGAUGAUAAUGACAGUACCGGGAGAAUAAGCUCCGGCUAACUCCGUG
rnacentral:rRNA from 1 species